GGUGUCCAUGUUCCUGCUUCAGUUGUCAGAUCUCAUGUACUUCAUGGCCUGACCUCAACUAAGAGUGUAAACUCGCAGGGAAGUCUGGGACUGCAGUCUUCUGACAGUCAGCCAGUAUACAAAUCCUUUCCAAGGAAACUGAAGCCGAGAAAGAGAAAAAUGCCUUGCAUGUAGGACUGGCCUUCAAUAUGGACAACUCAGCCCCACCAGCAUCAUAAUGGAGAAGCAAACAUCCAGAUACAGCCUCAGAGAAGCACAUCAUGCUUGUAUCAAAGGAAUAUUCAGAGGAAGAUCCAAGGUGGAGAAAUCUCCUGACUGGGAAGACGAUAUGAAGAUCACCCCAGACUCAGGUGCUCAGCUGAGAGGCCACACUGGAGCUCCACCAGUGUGUAUUCUGAGACAGAACUGCACCCAACCAUCAGGAGGAAGGAUGAAGAGGAGCUCCACUGUUCAAUCGAAAGUUGAUGAGGGACAGACACAUACAGCCGAAAACUGCACUAGAGACAUGGGGGUUUAUAAAAAGGACACUGAGGAAAGAGAAAGAAGUGUGUGA
rnacentral:lncRNA from 1 species